GUGACGUAGGCGUUCUGUAAUUAUGACAAGCUAGCUGAUUUUGUCAACCGUCAUUUCCACUUAAAGGCUUUUCGAAGUGGCUGCCAGUGCUGGAGGUAUUCGUUAUCUAUGAAAGAAAGUAUAAACUCCACACCAGCUGCUGCUCAGUGAAAAAAAUCGAUGAAGAGGAUUUGGUGGAGCAUGCUUGAGCUGAGUGUUGAGUCAGCAAUCUCAGGUGAGGAAGUUGCAGUGAUGGGAGAAGUAGUCCAGAUGCCUCAGCCAAGAGAAGAUUCUCCCUAAAAGAAUUUAAAUGGGCUUCCAAAGUGUGGGCGUGUUGUGUGUCCAAACACACAGAAAGCACUGCGGCUGCUGGGCUGCUGGGCUGCUGGAUUGUAGGAUGGAUGUGGUGUGAAGAAAAACUAGCCAGUUUAAUGUUUGCGCUUCAUUAUUAAGUUACUUUGAGCAAAUUAAACACUUGCUCAUCCAUCACCAUUCAAAUUUCAGAACAUAGUUCAAUCACUCAAAUUUAUUUCAUAAAAAUGUUGCAGUUUGAAGUUGUUCUGGAGGAAUAACAUGUCACAAACCCAUAGAGGAUAUGCAGUCAUACAUUUUAUUUUGCUGUUUCCUGUGAUAACAUGUUAAUUUUGGUUACUUUCAAGACAAUGUGAAAAAUAAUCACGUUAUAAUAAAAAACAGCUUUGUUAUUACAAUAUAAAAGGAUAAAUAAGAACAUAUUCAUGUCCACAGCAAAAUGGAGUAGAAUAACAUACUGAUGUAUGUCUGCUUAGGACAUCCGUACAUCAUAGCCUGUUGUUUUGGCUGGACACAUUUACAACCCACUGAAAACGGCUCCCAGAUUCACUUUUGAGUCCUGGAACCAGUUGAGAACCACUGAUAUGAGAUUUUUGAAGUUGAUCUGGGGUGUUAGACAAAUGUAGAACUACCACAGACUGUAGAAAAUGUUGCAUGAAGCUUGAGUGAUAGCCAUUUGGUGCUGGUUCUACUUUUUAUGAACCCUGACCCAUUUCCCCAGAUGUUCCGGUUCAUUUGGAGUGGUGUGAAAACUCAUUGGAACUCCAAUGAAGCCUGCUGCAGUUCGCUGAUGGUGUGAAAGCAAAGCAGACCAGCUUUUGAACCAGAGGAAGGAACUGGCAUAAAGCAUAAUGAUUUACAGAUCUAUAUACAUUAUGUGCUUUAUUACAUUCAUGUUUAUACCUUG